UACAGAGGUCUCAAGCGUUGUUCGGAUUCAUUGGGCGUAAAGGGUGCGUAGGCGGCGCGGUAAGUCGGGUGUGAAAUCUUGGAGCUUAACUCCGAAACUGCAUUCGAAUACUGCCGUGCUUGAGGACUGGAGAGGAGACUGGAAUUUACGGUGUAGCGGUGAAACGCGUAGAUAUCGUAAGGAAGACCAGUGGCGAAGGCGGGUCUCUGGACAGUUCCUGACGCUGAGGCACGAAGGCCAGGGAGCAAACGGG
rnacentral:rRNA from 1 species